rnacentral:rRNA from 1 species
UACGUAGGGGGCUAGCGUUGUCCGGAAUCAUUGGGCGUAAAGCGCGCGUAGGCGGCCCGGUAAGUCCGCUGUGAAAGUCAAAGGCUCAACCUUUGAAUGUCAGCGGAUACUGCCAGGCUAGAGUCCGGAAGAGGCGAGUGGAACUCCUGGUGUAGCGGUGGAAUGCGCAGAUAUCAGGAAGAACACCGACGGCGAAGGCAGCUCGCUGGGACGGUACUGACGCUGAGGCGCGAAAGCGUGGGGAGCAAACAGG